GUCCCUCGCUGGGACUCGAACAACGACGUUCAAGUAGGCGGACCACCCUCUACGAGAUGUUAUUUCGUCCGGAGAAUAGUCGUUCGACCGGGUACAGCGUCGGCGAGGGCGAAACAAAUAGUGGAAAAAAGAUACCGAGCAUUUGCGCGCAAUCGUGCCGAAUGCCUGAAAUUUCAGUAAUUAUCGCUGGACAAACAUCGAACGGAAGAAGAGGCAUGCCUCGAUUGCAGAUUGCGUUUCCAGAGCCACUCCGAGAAUCGUUAAGACGACCGUGCUUCGAAUGGCAAACAAAGGAAAUACGUGUACGACAUAUGUAAUUGCAACGGUCGGAUAGGUUGUUACUAGAUCGCGAAUAUUUAUGCAAAUUCUAAUUUUUAUGAAUAGCAAUUAAAAAAGGCAGAACCUGAAUAGAAAAUUGUUUCACCUCGUAAAUAUUCUAUCAACUAUUACAUCGUGAAUGUUUUAUAUAUCUUUAAGUAUUACGCGUAUUAUGUUCAUAUUUGUACCUUCGAAUUUUCCAUAGACGCGUGAAAAUCCGCGGUCCACUUACUACACACCGCGUUCGAUAAAUUGUCGAUUGAAAUAACUAAAUAACGUAUAAUCAAUAAUGAAAUAAUGAAUAGUGUUAAGAAUGCGAACUAUAGGAUAUGCAAACUUAAUAUUCAAAUUGUUCUAUCUCGAUUAUUUCGUAAUGAUAUUUUCAUACAUGUAAAACCAGUAAUACAUGAAAUCUGCAUGUCAAAUCAAAUCGAGCGAGAUAGUUGAAGUAUUCGCCUUCCUGUUCCUUAUCUUCGUCAGAAAAGCGGUAUUUAUCGAAGUGUAAUUUUACUUUCCCUCAAACUUCGAUACAGUUGCACUAACCGAUUAUACAGAGAAAAAAAUCACUUCCACUGCUUAUCGGUUACAACAUACAUAUAGCACGUGUAGUCCACGUUGUAAUUCAUCAACUAAUAGAAAGUAGUUCGACCGUGCCUGUCAGCAUAUCUGCAAACUCCUUCACCAACAGCAUUUUCCAACGCUGGA
rnacentral:misc_RNA from 1 species